rnacentral:lncRNA from 1 species
GAGAAAAUGUCAAAACUGACCUUAUGUCUAUAAAAAAGAGAUCACGACAAAACCGGUGAUAAUAGGUCAUAAGCUAAAUGAAAUAAAAAGUAAUUAGCGAAAAGCAAUGGAUCUCUCUCUCUUUCUUCCCUCUAUUAUUUUUGAGAGAGAGAGAAUUGCGUUAUUUCCCAUGCUUGAUCAAUCUGGUGAGGUUUUCAACCCGUAUAUCAGGUUUGUCUUCGGCAAUGUCUUGUCUGGUUUUGUUUUUUUUUUAUUUGUUUUUUUUUUCAGUUUCUCUGAAUCAACCUCGCUUCUCUUUUAGAAAGGUUUCAAUCGGAUCAAAAUCUUAGAUCGAUUUGUUUCAUCCUGCCCUCUCUGUUAGGGUUCAAUCAUCUUCAAGCUUUUGAUUUGCAUGCAAGGAUUUGAGACUUUCGUUUGCUUUUAUUUGUUUGAUUCGAUUGGUUCUGGGUUUGAUGUUUUGAAGCGUUGUUUUUGAUUUCGUCUGUGCUGAAUCAAGCUAUUGUGGAAGCCAAAUUCUCUCUGUCGCGUUUUCCUGUCUCCGGUAUGUUUUCGGUGGAAUACCGAUUAGACCGUCCGGCAACGGCUUACCUUUGGGUAAAUCAAGCAAAUUUAGCAAAAAGUUAGCAUGUUUUUGGGUUUAGGUUAGCAAACAAAAAUCUAAGGUAACCAGCUUUAAAAAGUAAUAACCGCUAAAAAGAAUGUUAAAUAGAUAUUCUAGAAUUUUUAGCAUGUAUAUCGGAAGAUUAUUGCAUAUGCUAAAAAGGUUAUUAACAAACUAAAGGAAACUUUGCACUGGUCCUGUGUUAAAAUAUUAAAUUAGUUAGCAAAUAUUGGUGUCGAAGAUUUGUUAGAUAUGUUAGCGCGUUAAAUAAAGUAUUGUAAGCUAUACCGUUUAGUGACCGUGUAACACUUUUUUAUGCAGGUGUAGCGUCAACUCUCAACUGCUAACGGGGUUUGUCUAUAAAAGGAAGCCAACAAGCAAACUCUCACCAUAAAAAAGCUGUCUAGUUAACAAAACCAAUACCACUCCUCCGUUUAUGUGUAUUGAUUGUAGACUUUAUAGUUACAGAAUCUUGUUUCGUGAUAUUUUAUUAAUACUAGUUACAGAAGCUGUCUAGUUAACUAAAAUAUUAGUUUGCUCCAUUGUCAUUGUGGCCAAUUAUUUAAGUUAACGUCUUUGAAUCGUUUGUAGCCGGCUAAGAAUAAUACUGGAUGAAUAUAUUUAAAGUUAGUUAUGGAGUGUCAUCGCUACAAAA